CUCUUUGCAUAUCAACAGCCACUACAUUAUCCACACCCCUCUCAAAAACUUCUUAUCUACAAUAACUAAUCACACAGAAUGAGAAGCUUACCUUCCAAACACACCACGCAAACAAACGUCCAAACCUUUCUCUCCCUCUCGGUUCCACUAUGCAACAAAAAAAGGGGUUUCAACUAUCAGACCCCUCCCCACCUUCUGAUUACAUCCCGACAAUCGGAUUUUACCGGCAACCGGAUAAACGACGCUUCAGCACCCUCUCCAUUUUCGUAACACCCACACACCUCUUUCACGUAGCCGGUCCUUGCCGGAGAAGUCGAGUCGUCGCCGGAAAAACUUGAAGCUCGCCGGAGCCGUACGGAGGUCGACGGAACUCUUUUCUUUCGUUUCGCCGCAGCCGUCGGAGCUCCACCGGAGACGAAAGCUCAAGCCGAAACUCACGGAUCUUCGUUUCGAUGAUACGAACACCUCGGGACCCGGGAUUCACGUCGUUGAUGCGUUGGAACUUAGUUCAUCAUUCGGAUAACCGCUCCUGUUCGUUAUUUUGGAAAUUCUCAAUCUUUACUCGUGCGCUUAUCUACAAGAAAUCCUUAUACGCAACCAUCGUUAAUUGUUGAAGUAUGGACUAAAGAUGAAACGAGAUUUAGGGUGGAC